AGAGUUUGAUCCUGGCUCAGAUUGAACGCUGGCGGCAGGCCUAACACAUGCAAGUCGAGCGGUAGAGAGAAGCUUGCUUCUCUUGAGAGCGGCGGACGGGUGAGUAAAGCCUAGGAAUCCGCCUGGUAGUGGGGGAUAACGUUCGGAAACGAACGCUAAUACCGCAUACGUCCUACGGGAGAAAGCAGGGGACCUUCGGGCCUUGCGCUAUCAGAUGAGCCUAGGUCGGAUUAGCUAGUUGGUGAGGUAAUGGCUCACCAAGGCGACGAUCCGUAACUGGUCUGAGAGGAUGAUCAGUCACACUGGAACUGAGACACGGUCCAGACUCCUACGGGAGGCAGCAGUGGGGAAUAUUGGACAAUGGGCGAAAGCCUGAUCCAGCCAUGCCGCGUGUGUGAAGAAGGUCUUCGGAUUGUAAAGCACUUUAAGUUGGGAGGAAGGGCAUUAACCUAAUACGUAAUUGUUUUGACGUUACCGACAGAAUAAGCACCGGCUAACUCUGUGCCAGCAGCCGCGGUAAUACAGAGGGUGCAAGCGUUAAUCGGAAUUACUGGGCGUAAAGCGCGCGUAGGUGGUUUGUUAAGUUGGAUGUGAAAUCCCCGGGCUCNACCUGGGAACUGCAUUCAAAACUGACUGACUAGAGUAUGGUAGAGGGGGGGGGGAAUUUCCUGUGUA
rnacentral:rRNA from 1 species